UGGCGGACUCUAGUGGGGUAAUGAGACCACAGGCUUACUUUAAAUGCAUGUCAACAUUCCAGCGGGUCCACCAUCCGAGCUGGAGCCCACCGCAGCACCACCCGGGAAUAUGAUCACGGGAGAAUCGAACUGGUGAACCCCAGGAUAGUCUGGCUGUCCAUAAAACUGGGCAGCUGGGCGGUCCUAACCUCACUUCUCCCACUCACACCACUGAGUUUAGGUCUGCUUCACUGGCUGGGAGUGUUGGACUGACAGCUGUCAAUCAGGGCUUGAGGAAAGCUAUAGGAAAUUGACUGCUCUGCAAUCAGAGGGACAUGUGUGACUAUCCAGACGGACGAGCUCCUGCUGGUUUUACUGGUCAAUAAAAUGGCAAAGAUGAAACACCACAGUUCAUGUAUUUUAUUAUCUUUUACUAACACUAUAUUUCAAUAAAACAAGCCAAACUAAUAUUUCAGUUUACAAAAAACUUUUUUAAGGCCCAAAAAUUUAGUGAUUAAACCCUGCUGUGAUUAACUUGGAUGCUUGACGCUCCUCUGGAACAAGCCAGCUCUGCCACACACUGCAUGAUAUCAACAAUCAGAUCUGUAGAACGGCGUCUUUUCCUCUGAAAGUAGAUCAUUUAAUACAUAAUACAGAAUGUUCCAAAAAAUGAAACAUAAAACAUGAAAAUCAAACCUUACCAAGCAAACGUUAGUCUGUCAGACACCUCUCACCCAAGCCAGGCAGGACGUCCGGCCUAUUUUAUGGAAGGAUCUAUCCAUCAACAGGGCUACCAUCUCUCUCUCCCUCUCUCACUGCCAAUGUGCCAAACCUCUGCUUUGUGGUCACACAUGUGCCAGUGUGCCAGCUGACCAUUCAUCACCAGACUGACACAUCAUUAAACACAACAAAUUAGCCGAGCCCCAGGAGAGACGGCGCUUCCUUAACGUAUACUGAUGAAAGAAGUAUGAUGUAUGAGUUCGCAAGCAAAGUCUCUGUAUUAAAAGAGCACAAAAUUGCAUACGCGAAGCAAAAACACAGACACAAAGAAAGCAUUAAGCAUAAGGGUUCUAUAAGUGGCUUCAAGCAAAACACUAUCUUCAUCCUCUGCUAUUGUGAUGGCAAAACAAACCAAUUCCAUCUGGACCUAGAUAGGUGUGGGUCCGCUGAGACUGCAGGCUCGGCGCCUUCUGGGAUUCCUCUUUAACUGCUACGGGCACUACACCUGCAACUUAUAAUCCUUAGGCAUUGAAAGGCUUUCAUUUAAACGAGAUAACUCACAUAGCAGUAAUUCAGUUUACAUAUCUGGUUAUACCAUUAAGAGUGUUUCUCAUAAAGAUAAUAUAAAACAAGUCGCAUUCACAAAACACAAAGCAUCUUUUUUUUUAGCUCAGCCUCUUUGGAGGAGCUUGAGUUGCACAAGUUGUAGUGCUGCUCUAUUCCCUCUCACUAAAGAGCCUCUCCUCCAGCUAAAAAGGAGCAGCGCUGCAACAGGGUUAUGAAUAAGAGCAGAGCACUUCAGCGCAAAACUCGGUGUCAAACCCAGUCUAUUUUCAGAGCUCGCUGCUCUAGCGUCCUUGAGUAACUGUUCAGAGCGGGUGCUAGUGUUGCCGUCAUCCUCUCUCCUCAAAGCCAUUACGAAAAU